rnacentral:lncRNA from 1 species
GUAACGGGAGUCCCGAGGGCGCCGGGCCGUACAGCGCUGGGCCUGGCCGCUGGCUGCCGGGUAACGGGAGUCCCGAGGGCGCCGGGCCGUACAGCGCUGGGCUGGCCGCUGGCAGGGCCCUGGAAGCGGCGGCCGCGCUUUUAACGUUCCUGGUUUGCUCCGCCUGGGCUGGUGCUGGAGACCAGGGGCCCGCUGAACACAGGGGUGUUUCCCGCCGGGGGGGAGCGGGGUUGUCGGAUGCGGUGCCGGUGGUUCGGCUCUCGGCCAGGUAGAGGAGUUGGGUUCAGCAGCCCUCCCCAGCUCAGGGCCCUGAGGAGACUGGAUCUGCCCCCGGCUGAGGGCGCGUGAAAGCGGCAUCUCAGGUUUCUGUCUGGUGCCAUGUCUCUGGCGCCCUGGGACACGCUGCAGGAAGGAGGAGGAAUUAGGGUUUUUUUAAACGCAAAGUUUGCGGAGCUGGCUGUANGUGCCAUGUCUCUGGCGCCCUGGGACACGCUGCAGGAAGGAGGAGGAAGUCAGGGCCUAAUAUUAGGGUUUUUUAAACGCAAAGUUUGCGGAGCUGGCUGUAUACACCAUGUUUAUAGUGGUGCUUUUUUAUUUGCUUUUGUGCUUGUAAACAGCUUCCUGGCAAAAAUACUUAAAUACUGUUCUCUAAAAGGAAACCAGUCGUUUCAAAUACCAUUUCUAAAUAGAUACCAGUAGUAUUAAAUGAAGGAUUAUCUUUUAUUUGACCAACUUGUGUUAGUGAAAGAGACAAGCUUGCGAAGGAUAGAGCUCUUCAGUUUCAUAUAGCAGCAUGGAGACAGCCUCAGGCAGUAUUAUGGAAACUGAUGAAACUAACAUUGGCCAACAGAAACUCGUGGUUUGAACAACAAGGAUUAAGUGAGUCUGAAAAUAUGUGGAUGCUGAUACUGAAGGCUGUCAAUCCAGAUCUAAAACCCACAAGCUGGGAAACAGUGCCCAGUUUACCAGAAUUUUUUGGACAGAAUUCUGAAAAUGAGAAGAACCCACCAAAACCAGAAGUCUUUAAGGUUGGAAUGAAAGAUUUUCAAUGGAUACCUCUCCCAUCUUUCUACAAAGAAAAAGCUCUUAAUAAAAAGAAUCCAAGCUGCUGUCACAUAUCAAAAAGUCAAACUGAGCAUCUAAUGGAAAGAGAGGACCAGGCAGACCAAAACCAGCUAAAUAUUGUUCCUGUAGUUGAGAAAAUAUCCCUUGCAAUUAAUGAUGAUCCAGGUGAGAUCAUAAGAAUGAAACACAGCAGGAAAAGUUCUUCAAAACUGAAAGAAAAAGGAAGGACUGAAAGGUGA